UAAAUAAGAUCUAUACCUUCUUUAUUAGGCUUAAUAUUCAUCAAAAAUAAUUUUUGUCAAAAUAAUCUAUAAAAUUUGAAUGUUUGAAGUUAAUAAUGAUUCGAUUGAUCCUUUAUAUAUUCUUAAUCUCGUUUUUAAAAUUCAAAGUCAUAAAAUCUUAAUGAUUGCUUGUAACAUUUUUUCAAACAAAAGUCAAUAUAUAUUCUGAAUCUGAAUUACCGACAACGAUAAAACCAUUGUAAGUCAGCGCACUCUGUCAUAUUCGUAUGUAAGGUUACAUACUAAGCAGAUGUAACAAUGUUUUUAAUGUUGGCAACUAUGUUUGGCAACAGGCCAUAUGGACAAAUAACGUGAAUGUGAGCCAAUUAUGACACAAUAAUGUUUGAUUAUCGUAUCAAACAAUGCAAUGUCAAUAAACCAUAAUUUAUGCAUUGCACAACUGUUAUACAGCAUCACUUAAUUAUUCUACGCUAUAUUAUCACAUAUUGUCAUAAAUAACCUAUAUUCAAGGAACUCUGGAAAUUUGAAAGGUUUGAUUGCAAAUAUUUUCUAAAGAGGGCGCAUCGAUGAACAAGGGUGCAUCAUUUUUAAUACAAUAACAAAAGAAUACUUUCUUUUGUAAUUCUAUCAUUAUAUAAACGAUGUGUAUAUAACUUUUUAAAAUAUCUAUUAGAAAAUUUCAUAGAAAUAACAGAAUUACAUAUCAAUAAAAAGAUUUUUAAUGUUAUUAAAUGCAAAGAUGAAUAAAAUAUGGAGACAAAACUUUGAAUAAAAUUAAAUUCGUUAUAAAUUUAUUACAAAUUAUUAAACAAUAUUAAAAGAGAAAGGUAGAAAAUUUUCAAAAUAUAUGCUUCCAAUAUUAAUAAUUAUUCGAGUAUUGAACUAUUUAGUAACCCAUAAUAACUUGCAUUCCCUUUGCAUUUAAUCCCAUCAAUUACAUAACAGAGAUGUGACCGAAAGCGCUACUUAAGAAGCGCUUGUCAACCAUAGGGUCAAAGGUAUUUCUGCGAAGCCCUCGAGGUUGAAGCAUUUACACCUCACCACCGCAAUAUUGUGAUACAUAUCGUUUUGUAAUAACGAAAACGUAACAUGAAUUACAUAGCACAACAAUUAAACAGCUUUGCUUUACUACAAAAAAACUUUUCUUUCUUUCUUUCUUUCUUUUUUUUUCUUUUUUUUUACAAUUUCUUUUUGUACAUUGUGCCUUAAGAUAAAGACAACAAUAAUCAUAAAACGAUUGUGCAAUGUAUAUAAUAUAUAUAUAUGUAUAAUUCAUCGAAUCAUUCGAUAUUAUUUAACUAUCUACUUGCAUUUAUUUCGAAUAUAUUAUAUUACACGUUUAUACAAAUAUAAUAUAUAAUAUAUACAUUAUAUUUAUAUUUUUACAGCUUUGCUUUUUUUCCCCCCCUCUCUUUCCUUGGGAUUUUACAACUGAAAGUUCCUAUGAGAUCACAGGACAUCACACACACAUAUAUAUAUAUAUAUAUCUAUAUAUAAAUGGCGAUCACAAUAAAAAUUCGACGCCAUUUUAUUCGGAUAAGGUACAAAAAAUAUCGUCAGCAUACACGGUAUGCAGAAUGCGGUUUUACGAUAGAAUAUAAAACUCAUUGAUGAUCUAUUAUUAAAUAAUUAAAGAAUAGCCUACUUUACGAGAUUAUCGUCCGGGAUAAUCGAGUCUGAUUUAUUAAUAGAACUUCAGAUCGAUUGCCUCUGCGCUUAGUACAUCAGAAGUUCUGAAGUAUUAUGUUAAAAAAACUACAAAGAGCCAUACUUUUUUUCUUCUUCUUUCUAUUCACCUGUCGAUGUUUCUUUUCGUUCCUUUCCUUCUUUCUUUCUUUUAAAACAAACUUAUAUAUAUAAUCAUUUAAUCAAUAACAAAUAUUUUCAGGAUAUAAAAUUGGAAAAAAUAAUAAUCAAAAAAUUAUCGAUCGUUAAAAAAACGCGCGUACAUAUCGACAGGCAAAUGAAAUGAAUAUAUGCUAAAUGAAAGCAAAUAAUCGAAUAGGAAGGAAAAUGUAAGCAAUAAACUUCCAAUAUAUAACGAAGCGAAAAUUAUCGUUACUUUUCUUUUGAGCGAAGGCACUUUACUCGCACAACGUUCCGCAAUUUUUCGUUAUGUACACUCCCGUGAAUAAUCGCACGAUCGAUCUACGUUCUGCUAUAUACAUCGCUCAAUUAUCACUCCCUCAUACAUUUGUAACAUCACUUUUGUUUCUCUUGUAUCGCGAUAAAAUCGCUCGAAUGAAACUUGACCGAUGCAGUUACAUGGCGGAACGUAAUAACGAACGCUACAAUUUCCAGGUUAUCGUUAUCAGGAUUUAACGGAUUUUUUUUUUCUUCUUUUUUUUCUUGUUUAAUCUCUUGUUUAUAUUCUCUAUCGUUUAUUCAACUUUUGUUGUACACACAACACACACGUAAUUGAUUCGUUUUAGAAAAAGAAAAUUCAGAAAGUUAGAAAAAAUUACAUGCUUUAAAAAAAAAAAAAAA